CAGUGGGUGAAAGCCCCACCCGGCAACCCGCUCCAGCCGGAAGCAACCGGAGCAGCUAUGGAGGUGACGAAAUGGUUGAAGCCUUCGGAUAGUCGGCGUAUGUGGACUUGCAUGAACUGCUCGCGACGACU
rfam:Betaproteobacteria bacterium RIFCSPLOWO2_02_64_14 rifcsplowo2_02_sub10_scaffold_1215, whole genome shotgun sequence.